AUGGCGGAGGAGGAUGAACUGUAUAACUUCCUUCGCAAUCGUGGAGUGCCAGAGGACACGUUAAAUCGCAUGAUUGAGCAAAAGAUUGACCACUCAACAGUAAUAACAAUGGAUGACAACACAUUGGAGAGAUUCCUGCCAGCCCUUGGUGAUAGGGUUGCAUUAAGGCAUUACUGUGACAAUGGCAACCACGUUAAGCAAUCUAGAAAACUAAGUCUUUUAGAAAAACUAAGGAAGAAAAUGAAGCUUGGACAUGCCUCAAACUUCUCAGAGGAUGCCGGUGAAAAGGAGGAAUGUGGGAGCACAAGAAAGUCAAUGAUUGGAAACAAAAAUGCUUACAAAGACACAAGACGGAUUGAACUUGGAUGGAUACACAAUGGAAAACAAGUUCGAACAAAAUGUGGUGGUGGGACAAGAAAGCUGUCUGUUCCGAAAACUGCUGGUUAUGAUGACCUCAUCGAGCUGGGAAAGGAGUUGUUUUUUCCUCUGGGGCAGUCAAAGAAAGGUCCUCAAGUCAGUUUCUCUUUCAAAAUAUAUGAUUUUCAAGAGUGUGAAAUGCCCCAUGAUAUCACUGUAGGAGGGCUGUAUGAAUCGGUUAAACUGGGAAUACUGAGAUUCUACUUGGUAUCACUUGAUCUUGAAGAAUCUGAAGCUUCUUUGGACGAUCUUGAAACUUCAGACACACCAUCAGAACAACAACAUGAUGACUGCUACAUAACAGGCGAGACCUAUUUGUCAUCUGAUGAUGAAAUACAGUUUGGUCCAGUGGAGGAUCCUGACUACACAUCUGACGAUACUCUUUACAUAGAUGCACAUCAAGAAGAGAUACCAUCCCAGUCAAGAGACGUAACACAUGUGGUAACACAUCAAGAAGAGAUACCAUCCCAGUCAAGAGACGUAACACAUGUGGUAACACAUCAAGAAGAGAUACCAUCCCAGUCAAGAGACGUAACACAUGUGGUAACACAUCAAGAAGAGAUACCAUCCCAGUCAAGAGACGUAACACAUGUGGUAACACAUCAAGAUUCUGCUCCGAAGGUGCUGAGACUGCAUCGUGUCAACAUCAUUCAUGAUAUGAUUGAACAGUUCAAAGAUGCCAGUUUUGUGGAGACCAGACUGUCGGUUGUCUUUGUUGAUGAAUGUGGCAUUGAUGCAUCUGGUGUUGCCCGGGAUGCAUAUUCAGGAUUUUGGGAAGCUUUUUUCCUGAAUUGUGCAGAUGGGGAAACUGACUGUGUCCCAGCACUUCAGCCUGAGUAUGGAAAAGAAGAAUGGGAGGCAGUAGGUAGAAUUCUACUAAAAGGGUACCAGGAUCAUGGAUUCUUUCCAGUGAAGCUGUCUUUGGCCUUUGCAGUCUGUCUCCUUCAUGGGGAGAACAAAGUGACACCAGACAUGCUGAUUGAAUCUUUUCUGAGGUUUGUCACGCCAUUUGAGAAAGACAUCAUCAGCUCUGUGCUGGAAGGAAGAGAGUAUGACAUGGAUGACCUACUCGACAUACUUUCCAGAAUGGGUGGGCACGCUGUACCUGAUGGAGAUGCCAUAAAGGACACCAUCAUACAGACUGCGCACAAACAACUAAUACAGGAGCCAAUGUAUGCUCUUAAAAUGAUGGCUGCUAGUGCUCAGUGUACUUUAAAAAGUCUGCUUCCAACUGUGUCUGCAGUUUUAGCACUUUAUGAAUCCAAAAUUCCAACAGCAAAAGGCAUUAUUGCGUUGCUUAAACCCAAUGAGAAACAACCUUCUCACAGCAAAACAAUGCAGUUUUUAAAGCUGUUCAUUCGAUCACUUGACAAAGAUAAACUGCAUAAAUUUCUGCGCUUUACCACUGGGGCUGAUGUUAUUUGUGUUUCACACAUUGAUGUUGAGUUUACAGAUGUCAGAGGUUUACAAAGGUGUCCAGUGGCACAUACAUGUGGUCCACUGUUGCAGAUACCCUGCACUUACAGUACCUACUCUGAAUUUCGAAGAGAGUUUGGGAGUGUCUUAGAUGCCAACUACUUGAAAAUGGAUCUGUUGUAA
rnacentral:lncRNA from 1 species